GUGUUUAAUGUGCUCUUCUGUGGCUUAUGGUCAUUGUGAAUAUAGUGGGCCUGUUACUAGAGCCUUGAAACAUAUCACACACACCAUGUCUGAAUUGGUUUGGUGCAAGGGAUCAGUAUUUGCCCUUCAUCAACAUCUGUGUAUAAGCUAACAUAAAUACUCUUAACUUGUGCUCACACUGGUAAUUGCUGUGAUAGUCGGUCAUAUGCGUGUCAUUCAAACUGUUUAUUUUUCUUUGCGUCCAGGUGUUGGGUUGGGAGGGUUGGGUCGGAUCUCUUUAUAAAUGUAAUGUUUGUGAGGGAAGGGUUAGUUUUUACAUUUGUAAUUUAUUUUAAAUUUUCUAUAUUUUUCCUAUGUUUUUUCAAAAGUAAUGAAGUACUUUUGUAAAGUUGAGAGAGAAGUUAUAACAGUAGGAAUAUGUAUAUAUUUCUUAUGUUCAGGUUUCCUUUGUUUAAUUAUGUGCUGAAGUUAUUACAAAGAUAACUAAAUAUAUAUGCAAGUUGGGAAUAAAUAAAGAUGUAUAAAAUAAAGUAUUGAAUGUGGAUUGUACCUUGUACAGAAUUUGUCCAAUAAAAGACAGGUAAAUGUAAUUUGUUAAAUUGGGUUUUUGAAGAGCUUCAGAGAGGAAUGUUUACAAUGGGUGGAUAGCGAGUCUGACAGCAUCAUUCUCAGUCUGUUUCUAAGGGCAGUCUGAUAACUUGUGUAAGAUUUCUGUUCCUUCAUAGUUUAUACACUUAAACCAAAAAAUCUCCACAUUUAAACCAAAUCCCCUUAGUAGUGCUCGUAUCUUACUAAUUGUGUCCCUUAUUCAUUCAUAUUCCAUCUACAUAUUGUCCAGUGCCAUUAAUCUUUGCUUUAUACCACUAACCUUAUUUGUGUGCCUGAACAGUCCUACUGUGACUGAAUUGGCUGCCAUUUUCAUUCUCGCACAAAGACUGAGGGAAAUCAAAAAACCGGUUCCUGCAGUCUAAUCCUUGAUGAGUAUUCACCUCGCAUCCAUGUGGUAACAUUCCCCUGCUCCCCCUACUAUAGCCAUAACUAAGACUGUCUUUACUCACACUGACCCUGGUCCAGUGCAAUGUGUAACUAACGCCAUAUUCUAGACCACAAUUGUGGGAGGGUCUUAGCCCUUUUUAACCACAAAUAUUCCAAUACAUUUCAUCAAGCGUUUCAAGCAGGUUUAGGAGGAGGAUAG
rnacentral:lncRNA from 13 species